AUGAAUAUGGUUGCUAGCUUUUCCUUCCUGCGUUGCUGCACAAAGCAAAUAAAGCAGCAGAUAUGUAGGUUGCUAAGUGCUCACCGAACUGGAGCUGUCGUAUCAGCUAGCACAAGAGGGAGCGGAAAUCAGCUAGCUAGGAGCAUCUUCAUAACUCACCUGGAGACCGAAGGAGGCGAAGGGGGAACGGAGUCUCUGCAAAACAGGGGUUGCCUCUCGCCUUCUAGAUCAGAAAGCAAAAGCAUUGACCAAAGGGAAAUAAGUAGAUUCAGAUCUGGACUGACUGAGCAGAUGCGUGCUAGCUGGUGCCAAGUCCCAGUCGCCAUUGGCCUAGUUAAGAAAUAG
rnacentral:rRNA from 1 species